GGAGAGAUGCCGGAGUGGUCGAUCGGGGCGGUCUCGAAAACCGUUGUGCGUGUGAGCGUACCCAGGGUUCGAAUCCCUGUCUCUCCGCCA
rnacentral:tRNA from 1 species